AGUUCGUAUCAGGAUGACAUAUAUAUUUUAUUUUUAAACAUGUGAUUGUGAACACAAAGCAUUACAUUUAUCCUCAAUGGCACAUUUUCGGUCCAGAUUCCAAAUUCUCAGUUUACUCUGAUUAAACCAACAGCGACCGUGGCAUUACGCCAAUCUGUCUGUUCAAAAAAAAAUAUCGAAGGUUAUAACAGAUCAACUCUAUCAAAAACACCUGAGCAUUAUUAUGGAUUAAGGAAAAAAAAACAUUUUUUAAGCAUUCAAAGAGCAUUAUCGACACAGAAACUUGCAGAACAGAAAUUGUCCUUUUGGGAAUAUGUGUUUGGUCGUCUUAAGAAAUCUUCGAAGAAUCCUCGUGUUUGCCAGCUGACCAAUUAUCAAGAACAAAUGCGUUCCAAGAAUUUGCGUUAUCAGAUAAUAUCUAGAAAUGUGAUCUACACCGAUUUGAUUAAAUCGAAAAAUAUGAGAUUUAUAGAACCGCAGCCUGCCGCAGCCUAAACCACCACCCUCAUACAAACUGCCCAAAGCUAUUUUGCUGAGCAAAGCGGUGGUGGAAGGUUUUUCUAAGACAUAAUUGCAGUUAUGUGUUGUAUGUUUUCAUAUCAUUAAAAAUGCAUUUAUUGAUUAAAUUAAAAGGACGAUAGAACUUGCAAAGGUAAGACGGUUACACCUACAACGCCCAGAAUGCCAUACGAAAAAAUAAAGCCGGCUUCAAAUAAUUCAAAUACUAAGGGGAUCAUCGAUCGGCAUCAAAACAACAUUAAAUCAAAGAAUUCUAAAUCGAAUCCUCCGAUCUAUGAGAAAUCAACAUCUCAGAUAUCGAUAUCAAUAACAGACUCGGCGGAAGCUCGCGAAACUACGGCGAAGAUAUUGCGCCAGGCGAUGGCACAGGAAGAGCCACGAAUCCAUUCGAGAGUCAAGCAAUUAAAAAUUUUAGUGAACGAGAAAAUGUGCAAGUCCCAAUAUGUAUCACAAAUAGAUCAAAAGAGUGUACAAAUUCCGAUAAAUAAUUACAAUUUAGAUAAAUAAUAAAUGUUUUC